UGCAGGCAUGAGUGAGUGCGCAUCCGCGUACACACACACACACACAUAUACACUCAUGCACACACGCACACAC
rnacentral:miRNA from 1 species